rnacentral:rRNA from 1 species
UGGUCAAGUUAUUAAGGGUGCAGGGCGGAUGCCUUGGCACUAGGAGCCGAUGAAGGACGUGAUAAGCUGCGAUAAGCUUCGGGGAGUUGCACGUAAACUUAGAUCCGAAGAUUU